rnacentral:misc_RNA from 1 species
AACAUCGCGCACCUGCGGGAACCUGCGGAAGGAUCAUUACAGAGUUGCAAAACUCCCUAAACCAUUGUGAACGUUACCUAAACCGUUGCUUCGGCGGGCGGCCCGGGUCCUUCCCGGCGCCCAUCGGCCCUCGCGGGCGCCCGCCGGAGGUAAACCAAACUAUUGCAUUGUGUGGCCUCUCUGAGUCUUCUGUACUGAAUAAGUCAAAACUUUCAACAACGGAUCUCAGAUCGGAAGAGC